ensembl:lncRNA
ACACCAUCUGGAAACGAUAAAAGAUCAGAGCCACGCUCACAUGAACUUAUUGACAAAGGGUUGAAUGUAAACCGCAUAAUCAUCAUAAUCAUUUCCGAUAUAUUGUUCGCUGCAAAACUGCAUGCUAGAUAAUUUAGAUUUGAGUUCGCUGGUUUGGGAGAGACAGAGAGUUUGGACACAUUUGCAAAUCUUUACGUCCCAAAUCACACCCUACACCCUAUAUAGCGCACCUCUUUCGACCAGAGCCUGGUCAACAGUAGUGCACUAGGGAAUAGGGUGCCAUUUGGAACGCCUCCAUGCAGUCCAGGCCAGGUGUGUGUGAAGAACUGAAGCGAUGUAGCUAUUGCAGAGGGCUGUACUGCAGACCUGAAAGACCUCCCAAGCCUCCAGGCUGUCUCAAUAGGAGGAUGAGAAUAACACACAGUACUUGACAGCUCGAGGAAUGCCUACCGCCUACUGUACAGUUUCAGCUUUACCUCACUGUGUACAAAUAUGUAACAGUUUCACUCCAUCGAACAGGUAGAGCUCUAACCACCUAUAUAUAGUACCAAGACCAAGCUACCUAAUAGGUCACGUGCGCUGUGAACAAUUCUCAAAUCAUCACGUCAACGUCAUCAAGAAUAUGCUGACCAAAAUCAUCACGAAUGUCAUCCUCACCAUUAUAAUUAACAUCGUUACCCUCAUCAUCAUCCCCAUGUUAUUACAACCAAUGACAAUGAAACCAGUUAGGACAGACUAGCCUGCCUCCUCAUUAAGCGUUUUGCUCUAUCAGUAGGCUAUAUAAACUGGAGUUCAGUCCUAUCGUUGGAUAUGUAGAUCUCUAUAAUCCAUAUUAGGUCAGAUCCCAACCCUAUGGAAACAUUGCCCUUCACUUCCAUCACUCAGUCUGACCAGACUGGACCAUGAUGGCCCCGCCCCUAGCCACACCGUAGGGAACUAUGUGGUUGCCUGGUUACUAAACAGAAGUCCCUUGCUUCUGCUAACAAGCUAUACAGGCUGACCAGGCUGCAAACAGUCACUACCCAGCUAGCACAUAACUUUCUGAGAACCGUAUGUUUCUUAGAGCUUGGUGAGAGCAUGGUUGUCCUAUGGUUACUUUGCAUACAACCUUCCCACAACUUUCUGGGAAUGGUGCUGGACAGUUGCUUGACUUUGCAACAUUCUCAGCACGUUUUAAGGAACUUGACAAAAAUACUUUAUUUUCUUGGUAUUUCAUUACUUUAUCAGAAGGUUUCCGAAAAGUUCAAACUUGGUUACAUUCCAAUUUUGUUAAUGUUCAAGAAACGUUCUCCAACUGGUUGGAUGUUGGGAAUGUUCUCAGAACGUUCAGAGAACAUUAAGAAACAUUGUUCUUCUGUGGGAAUUUCAAUACUUCAGCAAACAGUUUUCAUGGUUCUAUUUAAAGUAAUGAUUUAAAAACAUAUGCAUUCUGUUUCCAACAUCAACAAACCUAUAUCUUGUUAAUUGUGUUCAGGUAUGUUGGCCACACCCACUAAUUGACCACACCUGAUCUUAAUGUGUGCUUGUUUCAUUUGACAUGGGGUCUGUCUGAAUUAGUGCUAGGUGAUUAACCAACAUUCUGGUUAUUAAACAAGUAAUUGACCGACAUCUGUUCAAUUAUUUGAAUUCCAUUUCGUUUUUUUUCUUCUUCUGUGAGCUCAAUACGCACAUUGCAGUUUCUCUAGAGAUAAAUCAUCCUGAGUGGCAUAGCGGUCUAAGGCACGGCAUCGCAGUGCUAGAUGAGUCACUACAGACCCAGGUUCGAUCCCGGUCUGUAUUACGACCGGGAGUCCCAUAGGGCCACACAAAAUAGUCUGGGUUAAGGGAGGGUUUGGCCAGGGUAGGCCGUCAUUGUAAAUAAUACUUUUUUCAUUGUAAAUAUAGUUUUUUUUAUGUUCCUGGAGGCUGUUGCCAUAGUGAUAACCAAAAGAUAGCUGUGUUGCCAUUCACUCAGCCUAUUGAGUCCACUGGUUCCACUCACACAGAACUACACUUUGCCUUGACCUCUUUCUCCCGUCUCCAGAUGAAAACCUCUGACUCGUGAGGUCUGGCCGCCAGACAACCUUUCCGUUUGACCCCCUUCCCCUCCUCCGUUCUCCAGACCAUCUCUGGAGACCUUCUCCCAUUCCUCAUCAACUCAUCCAUCCCUUCUGACUUCAAAAAGGCCUGAGUCGCUCCCCUCAAGAAACCAACAACCGACUCAUCUGACGUCAAAAACAAUAGACCUGUAUCCCUCCUUUUCUUUUCUUUCCAAAACACUUGAGCAUGCUGUCUCUGAUCAACUCUCUUGUUAUCUCUAGCAGAAUGAUCUUCACCCUAACCAGUCUGGCUUCAAGACGGGUCACACAACCGAGACUGCUCUCCUCUGCUCUCCUCUCCUCCUCCUCAGCCAAAGCUGACUCUCUCUCCUCUGUUCUCACCCUCCUAGAUCUAUCCACUGCCUUUGACAUCAUGAACCAUCAUCCUCCCCUCCACUCUCUCAGGGCUGGGCGUCUCAGGCUCUGCACAGUCUUAGAUCGCAUCCUACCUGGCAGGCCGGUCCUACCAGGUGGCGACACGCAUCUCUGCGUGCCUGGCAGAUAUCUCAGCUUGGAUGUUGGCCCACCACCUCAAGCUCAACCUCGACAAGACGGAGCUGCUCUUCCUCCCGGAGAAGGCCUGUCCACUCAAGUCCUCUCAUUUACCGUUGACAGCUCCACAGUGUUGUCCUUCCAGAGUGCAAAUAACCUUGGCUUGACCCUGGACAACACUGUCGUUCUCUGCAAACAUCAAAGCAGUGACUCGCUCCUGCAGGUUCAUGCUCUACAACAUUCGUAGAGUACGACCCUUCCUCACGCAGUUUGCUGGACUACUGCAACUCACUGUUGACUGGACUCCUUGCUUGUAUCAUCAAACCCAUCAUCAAGUUAUCCAGAACGCUGCAGCCUGCCAGGUUUUCAACCUUCCCAAGUUCUCCCAUGUCACCCCGCUCCUCCGUACACUUUCUCACAUCCAAUACGAGACCACGGCGCUUGCCUACGGAGCAGCAGCAAGAGGAAGUUCUCUCUUCUCUGUCCUGUCACCCCAAUGGUGGAACCAGCUUCUCCAUGAAGCUACAACAGAAGAGUCCCUGCCCAUCUUCCGAAUGCACCUCUUCAAAGAGUAUCUUAAAUACAAA